GACGAACGCUGGCGGCGUGCUUAACACAUGCAAGUCGAACGGAAAGGCCCUGCUUGCAGGGUACUCGAGUGGCGAACGGGUGAGUAACACGUGGGUGAUCUGCCCUGCACUUCGGGAUAAGCCUGGGAAACUGGGUCUAAUACCGGAUAGGAGCCAUUUUUAGUGUGAUGGUUGGAAAGUUUUUUCGGUGUAGGAUGAUCUCGCGGCCUAUCAGCUUGUUGGUGGGGUAAUGGCCUACCAAGGCGGCGACGGGUAGCCGGCCUGAGAGGGUGGACGGCCACAUUGGGACUGAGAUACGGCCCAGACUCCUACGGGAGGCAGCAGUGGGGAAUAUUGCACAAUGGGCGCAAGCCUGAUGCAGCGACGCCGCGUGGGGGAUGACGGCCUUCGGGUUGUAAACUCCUUUCGCUAGGGACGAAGCUUUUUGUGACGGUACCUAGAUAAGAAGCACCGGCUAACUACGUG
rnacentral:rRNA from 1 species